rnacentral:lncRNA from 1 species
CGGGUGGACACUCAGUCUCGGGCAGGAAGCACCACGCAGGGCAUCGCCACAGUCAACACAGGGAAAAGCAGAUGCCCACAGAAAGCCACCCACUCCCCAAAAUAAAAUAACUUGAGAUAACAAUACAUUGCCUGUACCUGAUUUAGCCCUGGCUUCGUUUGCUGUUGAUUAAUUCUCACUAUUGCUUCUCCAGGCUCGAUUUAAUUUUUUCUUCAAUCAAUCCUAGCAGGACUCAAUCUCAUAGUUCCCAAAGCAUUUUUUCUCCCCCAAGCAUUUUGACAUAUAUGACUGCAUGUAAGUCCCAGAAUCACCAGUUUGGACGACAUUAAGGCUUAGAAGGCUCAACGACUUGUGUGUGUUCCCUCAAGUCCAUAAAUGGGAGGCGGGGAGUGAGGCAGAUUAAAACCCAGCAGACUGGUGCGAGGUGGACGUGACCGGCCAAUCACAAAGUCGCUGGACACAUGCGCAGAACAGUUCUCAAAGCCCUGCAGGGGGAACCAAUCAGAGAGUGCCCGUUUGAAUUGUUCUCGCGAGAACUUGCAGGGGUCUUUGGUAGCACAGCCUAACCCUGAGAUCAGCCACAGGAAAGAUGGCCGCCGUGGGUCCUGGGCCACUGUCGGCUUUUCCUGUGGCUUGAAGGGAGGCUCUCUCUUCUUACCUUCAGUUGGCUCUAACACGCUCUACAGAGCAUGCUUCUGUUCGCUUCUGACCUUUCAUGAAUGUGAAACCUCACUAACUUUUGCCCUUGUCUUGACUAGUUCUUUGCUCACAACAGAAAGAGCAUGGAAACCACCUCUGGAGGACUCCUUCCAGUUUUGA